CCCGCUCGAGCUGUCUCUGUCUCUCUCAAAAUAAAUAAAUAAACUUAAAAAAAAAAAAAAUCAAGUUUGCUCUCUUGGGUCCCUUGGCUUUGAGGCUGUCUCGACAGACAUAAGGAGAAGGCUCAGUACGUGGGAGACAGGCCAUCUGGGCCGGGACCAAAGAGCUCACAUUCUCAGGGCAAGUCCCUUCUUCAAGGCCAGAGGUCCCCUGUUGACGUCACACCCAUGGAGGGAGAAGAAACACCAAGAAGGGGUGAGGCGGUGACGUCGCCCCGUGUUCUCGCAGGGCUGAGGAGGUCUGCGCUCUACAUUCUUCCGUCUUGGCUCAGGCCAGAGCCCCUGUGAUGCAAACCAGGACGAGGUCCGAGGGCCCUCCCUCAAGGCGCACACUGUGUGAGAAAGGGACCCACAGCUCAGGAACCAAAACAGACACACCCAGCCCAGUGACCUCCCCACCAGCCAGUGACCAACAGCAGCCAGUCAACAGCUCUCAUCAAGAGGUUCCUAUGUACAUGACGCCAUGGGGGAUCCAAUCUCCUGCGGACCAUGGCUUGGGGUUUACAAGGAGAAGGAGGAGGAGGAGGAGGAGGAGGAGGAGGAGGAGAAGGAGAAGGAGAAAACUACCCCUGCCCCCCGACCUCCCAAAGACCACCACCACGGCUAACACUCUGGAAAUUUUUCUGCCGAUGCAUUGUCGGUUUUUAUUUGGUUUUCGCAUUACUGUAAUCAUAACCAUGUUUACAAUCCUGCAUCCCGCUGCACUUAACAUCCUGGUGUGUGUAUUUUUCUGCACGUUACAUUUAUCCUGGUUGCUGCGAA